rnacentral:lncRNA from 1 species
AGGCAGAAGUGACGUGCCUUGUGUCAGAUGAGACUUUGGACUUGGACUUUUGAGUUAAUGCUGGAAUGAGUUAAGACUUUGGGGGACCAUUGGGAAGGCAUGAUUGUGUUUUAAAAUGUGAGAAGGACAUGAGAUUUGGGAAGGGGCAGUGGUAGAACGAUUUGGUUUGGCUUUGUGUCCCCACCCAAAUCUCACGUUGAGUUGUAAUCCCUAGUGUUGGAGGUGGGGCGUGGUGGGAAGUGAUUGGAUCAUGGGGUGAUUUCUAGUGGUUUAGCAUCAUUCCCCUAGUGCUGUCUUAUGAUAGAAUUCUCACAAGAUCUGGUUGCUUAAAAGUGUAUGACACUUUCCCCUUCUCUCUCUCUUUCUCUCUUUCUCUCUCUCCUGCCACCAUGUGAAGACAUGCUUGCUUCCCCUUUGUCCUUCUGCCAUGAUUGUGAGUUUCCUGAGGCCUCCCCAACCAUGCAUCCUGCACAGCUUGUGGAACUAGACUCAACUGUGUGGGUUAAGACUUGGCCAUGGCACACCAAGGAUACCCCGUCUCUGCUCUGCAAUGUCUGAGGAUUCAGCUGGAAGACUUGAGAACUGGAGGAUGGGAUCAACUGAAGGCUCAUUAAUUCACUCAUCUAUCCUGGUUCCAGAAGCAGAUGGGCAGACAAGGAGACAAGCAGAGGAAUGUCAAAAUGCUGCGGCAGAAAGAGAGAAGAGGAGGAAUGUCUCAACACUAAGAGUUUAGCCCGGGGCGGUUCAGCUGCCGGAAGGCCAAACUCCAGGAGAAGCCCAUCUUCCUACUCCGUCCUCCCUUCAGGUUCUCCAUCCAUCCUGCUGAGAGCCACCUCCGCCAUUCAGUAAGACCCCCACAUUUAUCCUUCAAGUGCAUGUGUGACCCAGUUCUUCCAGGAUGCUGGACAAGAGCUUGGGAUACAUAAAGCUGUCACACUGGCCCUCUGCCCUUGCUCGCUAACACUCAAGCCAUUCGCAGACGGCUAAAAGAGCACAUUGUAACACGUGCCCACUUGGACUCCUGCACCUGCCCAUCUGCAUGCUUUCCAUCCUGUAAGGGGUUUGAGUGGUGUCAGCAAUCUAACAGACAAGCCACACCCUUGUUUCACGUCCUGUGAGAGGGGUCAGGGAACUCUUCUGUUUCAUCAUUACCCAACUUUGGAACUCAAGAAAGGACUCACAGGGAAAUUCUUGCAGAAUCUCGUGGAAAAUCUCACAUGUAUUUGUGAAAAUACAAUGUGGAUCUGUGAGAUCCCACUUCAACACAGGCCACGGGGCCACCUUCUGCACCCACAUGGGUUGUUUUAAGUCUUCCUUAGUCUCCUUGAGAAUAACAUGAUGCUAUGAUGUUGGCAGGAAUCUUCCACACCUUCCAAAACAUGACAAUAUGGGUCAAGCCCGUGCAGAGACUGUGGCUCCUGCUUUGGGAGUCACCUGGAAUUGUUGAGAGAUUAGCAAAUCCCAGAACCAGGUUUGUUAGAAUUAACUGCUCAACCAGAUUGUAUUGAAAAUGGUCUGAAGUCAAAGACGACAGACGCAAACGGGCUAAAUUGCUCAGUUAAUUCUUCCAUUUCUCUUCCUCCUAGUUGUUCUAGCUUCAGGGAGGACUCAGGAGAGUACUGUUUGAAAACCACUGAUCUAGUUUACACUUUCAUUUUACAGAGAGGAAACUGAGAGCCACAGAGAUUCAAGUGACUCAUCCAAGAUGACCCAAACCCUGGGGUUUGUUAUUGUUUUUCACACUAUGCAAAGCACUAAAAAACAUUCGUUUGAAACAGGUGAACAAAAGUCUAAUUUGUAGUGAGGUCUAGGGGAAUGACUGUCCAGUCAAUUCCUCAAUUCAUGAAGGAGCAUUUGGGACGCCACAGAGGAACAUACACAGGUAUCCCUCCUCCUACCCGACACCAUUCAGGAAGAGCGGUUACCCCUCCAAUGCACUGAAGCAGAUUCAUUUCCCUCAGGACUGUGGGAGGCGACUGAGGCUGAGUGAAUGAUACAGCCUUUUAAUUUGUUUUUAAUUGUCGUGUCCUGGUAACCCUUCCAAAGACCCUUCACGGAGAGUAGUUUUAUUUUUCCACUUAUUAACCGCAUUCACUAGACUGGAAAAAGAAUUCCCUAUCUCCCAAGAACUCUCCCUUUCAUUCUUGUAAUUCCUUUUUUUUUUU